UAGGGAAUCUUCGGCAAUGGACGAAAGUCUGACCGAGCAACGCCGCGUGAGUGAAGAAGGUUUUCGGAUCGUAAAACUCUGUUGUUCGAGAAGAACAAGGACGUUAGUAACUGAACGUCCCCUGACGGUAUCUAACCAGAAAGCCACGGCUAACUACGUGCCAGCAGCCGCGGUAAUACGUAGGUGGCAAGCGUUGUCCGGAUUUAUUGGGCGUAAAGCGAGCGCAGGCGGUUUCUUAAGUCUGAUGUGAAAGCCCCCGGCUCAACCGGGGAGGGUCAUUGGAAACUGGGAGACUUGAGUGCAGAAGAGGAGAGUGGAAUUCCAUGUGUAGCGGUGAAAUGCGUAGAUAUAUGGAGGAACACCAGUGGCGAAGGCGGCUCUCUGGUCUGUAACUGACGCUGAGGCUCGAAAGCGGGGGGAGCAAACAGG
rnacentral:rRNA from 1 species